GGGGAAUAUUGGACAAUGGACCAAGAGUCUGAUCCAGCAAUUCUGUGUGCACGAUGAAGUUUUUCGGAAUGUAAAGUGCUUUCAGUUGGGAAGAAAAAAAUGACGGUACCAACAGAAGAAGUGACGGCUAAAUACGUGCCAGCAGCCGCGGUAAUACGUAUGUCACGAGCGUUAUCCGGAUUUAUUGGGCAUAAAGCGCGUCUAGGUGGUUAUGUAAGUCUGAUGUGAAAAUGCAGGGCUCAACUCUGUAUUGCGUUGGAAACUGUAUAACUAGAGUACUGGAGAGGUAAGCGGAACUACAAGUGUAGAGGUGAAAUUCGUAGAUAUUUGUAGGAAUGCCGAUGGGGAAGCCAGCUUACUGGACAGAUACUGACGCUGAAGCGCGAAAGCGUGGGUAGCAAACAGGAUUAGAUACCCUGGUAGUCCAUGCCGUAAACGAUGAUUACUAGGUGUUGGAGGUCGAACCUCAGCGCCCAAGCAAACGCGAUAAGUAAUCCGCCUGGGGAGUACGUACGCAAGUAUG
rnacentral:rRNA from 1 species